GACGAACGCUGGCGGCGUGCUUAACACAUGCAAGUCGAACGGAAAGGCCCUGCUUUUGUGGGGUGCUCGAGUGGCGAACGGGUGAGUAACACGUGAGUAACCUGCCCUUGACUUUGGGAUAACUUCAGGAAACUGGGGCUAAUGCCGGAUAGGAGCUCCUGCUGCAUGGUGGGGGUUGGAAAGUUUCGGCGGUUGGGGAUGGACUCGCGGCUUAUCAGCUUGUUGGUGGGGUAGUGGCUUACCAAGGCUUUGACGGGUAGCCGGCCUGAGAGGGUGACCGGCCACAUUGGGACUGAGAUACGGCCCAGACUCCUACGGGAGGCAGCAGUGGGGAAUAUUGCACAAUGGGCGGAAGCCUGAUGCAGCAACGCCGCGUGCGGGAUGACGGCCCUCGGGUUGUAAACCGCUUUCGCCUGUGACGAAGCGUGAGUGACGGUAAUGGGUAAAGAAGCACCGGCUAACUACGUG
rnacentral:rRNA from 1 species